AGUGCGAAGUCUUUUUCCGUCUUUGCACGCUUCACGCUCUUCUUUUGAAGCGCUUAGCGCUUCAUUUCAAGAUGAGCUUGCGGCAUGUGAAGAAACGAUGCUCCGUGGUACACUGCGACAGCGUGGAUAGUACCAUUGGUGUCACGCUACACCGAAUCCCGCUGGACUUUCACAGGUGCCGAGCGUGGGCGCAGUUCUGCCGCAACGUCAGCCUGGAGAAGGCGCCGUCGCAGCUACGAGAACUCGGGAUUUGCUCGAGGCACUUCGAACCAUCUGUGUAUCUGCCGUCAGGAAGGCUGCGACACGAUGCUUUGCCUACUCGAGCAAGCAUUGCCGAUACGAGACUUCACCAGAGGUCAGUGCGAUUGAGGGCGCACUAACGCAAUACUACCAAGUUUUCUGAUGAAGUCAGCUUCCACAAUUUCCCAGACGGCUGGACAUGCUUCUUGUAUCUUGGCGCUAACUGUACGACGGGGCCUCAUCAUGAUCAGUUUCUGGUAACAUGCAACGCACGAAGAAUUCACUAAUGGAUGGUAUGCCGAAGAACUGGCCAUACUUUCUGCGUGAUGCUGUGCAAGCACGUGGCGUUACCCUACAAGAUGCACCCACAAAGCAAGUUACAAUUCACUUCUAAAUGAAGCAUGGACAACAGAAAAAAUAUAUUUAUAUUGCUAGUUAGAGUGGUUCGCAGAGUGUUUUUCCAGAUGUGUACUAUCCUUUAUUUCUUAACUCAUUGCAGCACAGCGUUCUGUAUCGUAUACUGGUGUAAGGCUAUUGUGCCCUCUGCAGCUGAAACCAGGAUGUAAGUUUUGCCUGAACUACAGCAUCAGUGACAAAAUUUUUCUUUGCUAGAAACCAGUUCGAUUCGGUGGAAACCCAGCAGGGCGAAGUUUUGUCAAUAAUGACGUGUUUCAUGCAGAGAUGUUCUUGUUUAGGUCAAUGGGCGAACAUUGGCAUGAUAGCAUACAAUAAAGAUAUUGUUUUAUUUGCAAAAUAAGUUGACAGGUGACAUUCAAUUGAUUGGUCAAAUUAAAAAGCACUAAUUGGCCAAUGAGGCUGUACUACACUAUUCCCAUGGCUCACAUCUGGAAAAACUACCUGUGCAUCACUCUAUCCGACAAUAUAAAGUUUAUUUUUUUCUGAUGUUCAUCCCUCGUUUAAAAUAAAUUGUAACUGUGGACAAACGUCGUGUUACUGUAACAGCUACCGCAAAUAUUUGGGAAUGUCUAA